UAAAGACUGACUAAGCAUGUAGUACCGAGGAUGUAGGAAUUUCGGACGCGGGUUCAACUCCCGCCAGCUCCACCA
rnacentral:tmRNA from 4 species